CCUACGGGGUGCUGCAGUGGGGGAUAUUGGACAAUGGGUGGAACCCUGAUCCAGCGACGCCGCGUGAGUGAAGAAGUAUCUCGGUAUGUAAAGCUCUAUCAGCAGGGAAGAAGAAAUGACGGUACCUGAGUAAGAAGCCCCGGCUAACUACGUGCCAGCAGCCGCGGUAAUACGUAGGGGGCAAGCGUUAUCCGGAAUUACUGGGGGUAAAGGGAGCGUAGACGGUGAUGUAAGUCUGGAGUGAAAGGCGGGGGCCCAACCCCCGGACUGCUCUGGAAACUAUGUGACUGGAGUGCAGGAGAGGUGAGCGGAAUUCCUAGUGUAGCGGUGAAAUGCGUAGAUAUUAGGAGGAACACCAGUGGCGAAGGCGGCCUGCUGGACUGCAACUGACGUUGAGGCCCGAAAGCGUGGGGAGCAAACAGGAUUAGAUACCCCUGUAGUC
rnacentral:rRNA from 1 species